UGGGCCGUCGCCAAGCGGUAAGGCACCGGAUUUUGAUUCCGGCAUCCCCAGGUUCGAAUCCUGGCGGCCCAG
rnacentral:tRNA from 1 species